CCUACGGGAGGCAGCAGUGAGGAAUAUUGGUCAAUGGGCGCGAGCCUGAACCAGCCAAGCCGCGUGAAGGAUGACUGCCCUACGGGUUGUAAACUUCUUUUAUAAAGGAAUAAAGUGAGGUACGUGUGCCUGUUUGUAUGUACUUUAUGAAAAAGGAUCGGCUAACUACGUGCCAGCAGCCGCGGUAAUACGGAGGAUCCGAGCGUUAUCCGGAUUUAUUGGGUUUAAAGGGAGCGUAGGUGGGUUGUUAAGUCAGAUGUGAAAGUGUGCGGCUCAACCGUAGAAUUGCAAUUGAUACUGGCAGCCUUGAGUACAGUUGAGGUAGGCGGAAUUCGUGGUGUAGCGGUGAAAUGCUUAGAGAUCACGAAGAACUCCGAUUGCGAAGGCAGCUUACUAAACUGCCACUGACGUUGAUGCUCGAAAGCGUGGGGAUCAAACAGGAUUAGAUACCCGAGUAGUC
rnacentral:rRNA from 1 species